UACGUAGGGGCAAGCGUUGUCCGGAAUCAUUGGGCGUAAAGAGCGUGUAGGCGGCUUGCUAAGUCUUGCGUGAAAUCUCGGGGCUCAACCCCGAGCGGUCGUGGGAAACUGGCAGGCUAGAGUGCGGGAGAGGAGAAUGGAAUUCCUGGUGUAGCGGUGAAAUGCGCAGAUAUCAGGAAGAACACCCGGUGGCGAAGGCGGUUCUCUGGAACGCAACUGACGCUGGAGACGCGAAAGCGUGGGGAGCAAACAGG
rnacentral:rRNA from 1 species